CAGCCGCCGCGGGAAUACGAAGGGUGCAAGCGUUAAUCGGAAUUACUGGGCGUAAAGCGUGCGCAGGCGGUUUGUUAAGACAGAUGUGAAAUCCCCGGGCUUAACCUGGGAACUGCAUUUGUGACUGGCAAGCUAGAGUAUGGCAGAGGGGGGUGGAAUUCCGCGUGUAGCAGUGAAAUGCGUAGAUAUGCGGAGGAACACCGAUGGCGAAGGCAGCCCCCUGGGCCAACACUGACGCUCAUGCACGAAAGCGUGGGGAGCAAACAGGAUUAGAUACCCGAGUAGUCCCUGUCUCUUAUAC
rnacentral:rRNA from 1 species